rnacentral:rRNA from 1 species
CCUACGGGAGGCAGCAGUGGGGAAUCUUGCACAAUGGGGGCAACCCUGAUGCAGCGACGCCGCGUGAGUGAAGAAGUAUUUCGGUAUGUAAAGCUCUAUCAGCAGGGAAGAAAAUGACGGUACCUGAUUAAGAACCCCCUGAUAACUACGUGCCAGCAGCCGCGGUACUACGUAGGGGGCAAGCGUUCUCCGGAUUUACUGGGUGUAACGGGAGCGUAGACGGCAGCACAAGUCUGGAGUGAAAUGCCGGGGCUUAACCCCGGAACUGCUUUGGAAACUGUGCAGCUAGAGUGCAGGAGAGGUAAGUGGAAUUCCUAGUGUAGCGGUGAAAUGCGUAGAUAUUAGGAGGAACACCAGUGGCGAAGGCGGCUUACUGGACUGUAACUGACGUUGAGGCUCGAAAGCGUGGGGAGCAAACAGGAUUAGAUACCCGAGUAGUC